UUGGGGGCAGAUGUGGGGGUUCCAUUUGGGGUCUCACUUUGGGGUCUCACUUUGGGGUCCCACUUUUAGGUCCCACUUUGGGGUCCCACUUUGGGCUCCCACUUUUAGGUCCCACUUUUAGGUCCACUUUGGGGUCCCACUUUGGGGUCCCACUUUUAGGUCCCACUUUUAGGUCCCACUUUUAGGUCCCACUUUGGGGUCCCACUUUUAGGUCCCACUUUUAGGUCCCACUUUGGGGUCCCACUUUUAGGUCCACUUUGGGGUCCCACUUUGGGGUCCCACUUUGAGGUCCCACUUUUAGGUCCCACUUUGGGCUCCCACUUUGGGGUCCCACUUUGGGUUCCCACUUCGGGGUCCCACUUUUAGGUCCCACUUUGGG